rnacentral:pre_miRNA from 1 species
AUGUGCAUACCUGGGGAUCUUGUUAAAAUGAAGAAUCUAAUUUAAUAGGUCCAGAUUGAGGUGUGAGAUUAUUUAUUUCUAACAAGUUCCCAGGUGAUGUUGGU